rnacentral:rRNA from 1 species
AGAUUAAGUUAUUAAGGGCGCACGGUGGAUGCCUUGGCACUAGAAGCCGAUGAAGGACGUUACUAACGACGAUAUGCUUUGGGGAGCUGUAAGUAAGCUUUGAUCCAGAGAUUUCCGAAUGGGGAAACCCAGCACGAGUUAUGUCGUGUUAUCUGCAUGUGAAUACAUAGCAUGCAAGAAGGCAGACCCGGAGAACUGAAACAUCUUAGUACCCGGAGGAAGAGAAAGAAAAAUCGAUUCCCUGAGUAGCGGCGAGCGAAACGGGAAGAGCCCAAACCAAUAAGCUUGCUUAUUGGGGUUGUAGGACACUCUGUACGGAGUUACAAAAGAAUUUGUUAGACGAAUAACCUGGAAAGGUUAAUCAUAGAAGGUAAUAAUCCUGUAGUCGAAAACAAAUUCUCUCUUGAGUGGAUCCUGAGUACGACGGAGCACGUGAAAUUCCGUCGGAAUCUGGGAGGAC